rnacentral:rRNA from 1 species
UACGGGGGGGGUAAGCGUUGUUCGGAAUUACUGGGCGUAAAGGGCUCGUAGGCGGCCAACUAAGUCAGACGUGAAAUCCCUCAGCUUAACUGGGGAACUGCGUCUGAUACUGGAUGGCUUGGAUUCGGGAGAGGAAUGCGGAAUUCCUGGUGUAGCGGUGAAAUGCGCAGAUAUCAGGAAGAACACCAACGGCGAAGGCAGCUCGCUAGGACGGAACUGACGCUGAGGCGCGAAAGCGUGGGGAGCAAACAGG